rnacentral:rRNA from 1 species
CGGAGGAUCCAAGCGUUAUCCGGAAUCAUUGGGUUUAAAGGGUCCGUAGGCGGUUUAGUAAGUCAGUGGUGAAAGCCCAUCGCUCAACGGUGGAACGGCCAUUGAUACUGCUAAACUUGAAUUAUUAGGAAGUAACUAGAAUAUGUAGUGUAGCGGUGAAAUGCUUAGAGAUUACAUGGAAUACCAAUUGCGAAGGCAGGUUACUACUAAUAGAUUGACGCUGAUGGACGAAAGCGUGGGUAGCGAACAGGAUUAGAUACCCUGGUAGUCCACGCCGUAAACGAUGGAUACUAGCUGUUGGGGGCAACUUCAGUGGCUAAGCGAAAGUGAUAAGUAUCCCACCUGGGGAGUACGUUCGCAAGAAUG